rnacentral:misc_RNA from 1 species
CCAUCACCAAAAUGACCUAAGCCAGUUUGGUUUAGUGUCUACAUUUGUAUGCCCUUUAAUUUUCUUGUAGACUGCCAAUGUGGGGAAUGUUCCCACAAGUCAUAUCCCAACACUCCCCCUUAAGUAUAACUGGGUUCAACUCAAGCUCGCAAGGGCAGGCACAUUUGUCACUUGCUAUUGCAUAGGGUGACCCAUCUACCUUGGGUCUAGAUCCACUUGGCUCUGCCCUCAAGGUCUAACUCUCUAAGCUAGCCCAUGGAUCUACCUGAAUCUGACUCAAUUAGCUCAGCUCAUGGGUUUGGCUCGCUUGGCCUCAGUCACCAUGCUUUCAGGUCUUGGAUCUAUGGCCUUGCUCUGACACCUUGUUGAUAAAUAUGAACUCAUGAGUGUGGAUCAUCAAUUAGGUAGGAGUACAUGUUGAAUUGGGUUUGAAACUUGGCUCCCUAUCACCAAAUAACCCAAGCCAUUGGUUUGGUUUGCCAACACU